AGCUCCGACAAGUGACGGGCGGUCCCACCCUUUGCUUUGCAUUGCGGGCGGAUAGCAAAGUACUCAAGUCAUGUGUGUUUAUUUUCAAGUGAAUUUGGCGCUGCGGCAAUGAUAACCACAUCACCGGGCUGUGCAAACCAGAAAUGCUGUUCGUGUGAAAGCCUCGGUCCGGCCGCGGUUCGCUCGGGUUUGCUCCCGGAUAUAUCAAUGGCUACUGCUAUCUGUGAUAUUACGAACCCUGCGUAGUUGACCCCGGAUCAGGAUCAAGAUCAAGCGCCGCUGAAGGCUGCAGGGCCAGGCCAGGCCUAUCCAAAAUGGCCUCACACCCCAACGCCAAUAAAAUAGAAUGCCAGGCCACAUCUUCCAAGUCACCCCAACAUCAGAAAGGAGCCGGGUCUAACUUCGAGCCUCUGGACAAAACGACUAGCAACACCCUGAAACGAAAUCCAAAGAUGGAGCUCAGUAAGCAGGAACUCCUGAAACUUCUCAGUUACCUAGAGGGUGAACUGGAGGCAAGAGAAGUAGUAAUAGCAGCUUUAAAGUCAGAAAAAGUUAAGCAACUUGUUCAUCAAAGCCGGCACAGACCAGGUACACUAACACAGUCACAUUUAGCUUUGCAACAAGAUAGCUUUGCUGUUGCGGAUUCCCGACUAGGCCUAGACUGUCUUUUAGCAGACCAUCAAAUGGCGUCCCUAGAUAAUGUUAUAUUGCAACACAAGCAGUCACAACUUCGCAUGGCAAAGAUGUUGCGGGACAUGGAACUUCGUCAUCUUAAAGUUGUUCAAGAGCUUGAUGAAGAGAAAAGGAAACAUGAACAUGACACUGCCCAAGGUGAUGAUAUUACUUAUGGUCUGGAAAAGGAAAGAACAAGAUUAAAACAGGAAUUAGAGUUAGAAAAGCAAACACGGAAGAAACAAGAAAAAGACUUAAAGAGAGCCAAUGAAAUUCUGGAGGAAGAAAGGAAUCGUCAGAAACAAAUUGUCUUAUUACUUCUUGCUGAACGAAAAAAACUUAUCAUGAAGUAUGUUGAAGAACGUAAGCGAUCUGAAGAUUUGGCUCAGAUUGUUAGUGAAGAAAAGGUCCAUAUGAAUGCUAUGGCAGACGGUCUUGAAGAAGAAAGUAAAAAGUCAUUACAAAUGGAAGCUGAGCUGGAAAAGCAAAUGGCUAAGUUCGAAGUAGAGCGCCAGCAUUUAAAGCAGCAACUACUACGAGAGCAAAGAAGAGUUACGGAACUCGAAUCUGAUUUGGAAAAGUCUAAAACCGAGUUGCUGUCUGCAAACAAACAGUUGGCAGAAGCUCAUCAAGUUGCUAUGUUCCAAGCUACUGUGAACACAUCACGCCCAGGCACUGUCAAAGGUGUUCCUUGGUCUGGUUUGACUGAUGGUGAUGCUGGUGCUCAAACUGGAACCCCAAUGCUGAGUAGUGUAGCCAAAGUUGUUCAGCCAACUGCAACUGUAUCCAGUGUACCUGUCUGUGCUCCCACUACAGGUAUUGCAAGGUCUGUCUCCCCUGGCCAGAGCGCUAGAACUGCUCUCUUUUCCCCAAAUUCUGCUACUUCACCAGCGGUUCAAGAUGAACAACCGCCCAACACUGCUGCUCCCCGCCCGAGCCAUGCUCCGACUCCAGGUGCCAAACUCUAUGCCACAUCGGCUGGUGGCAAACUCACUUUCCAUGUGUCAGCAGCAGCUGCUGCUGCAGCCGAGGCUGCAGCUGCCUCAUCUGGCGAUUCUACGCCUUCUGCAGUACAACCCCAACCUCCACCCAAGAAAGCAACUCUAGGGCGUGGAGCGCCACCUCCUGUUCCACCCAACAAACCUAUAGUUCCUCCCAAAAAAGACUCUGCAGUAGGGAGGAAAGCAGAUGGAGGAGCUGAUGGCUCUGCAACGGGGGCUAAGCUUGGCCUUGUCAGCAAGGAUAAAGCCCCUCAGCGUCCCUAAUACCUUGGACUCCUGUAGCCGGCCACAAAAGCAACCAGAGGUGUGCAUUACUCCUAAGGUUGAUGCAGUUUGAGGUUCCCUUUACGUUCUCGACUACACUAAAAUGGUGUUUCCUAUUGGUGUGACUGCUUUCAUUCUACAACAAAAAAAGUAAUGGACGUGAAUGUGUUCUCCAUCCUCAUUGCUCAAGCCUUCAUCUACAUAACAUCAAUUGCAUUAUUUUGGUGGUGACCAUUGCUGCUUGUGCUGAUGUUUACCUUUAAAAGACUCAUGAAGUUAGCUUGGAAAUGGCACAGUAGGUUUUCAGUUUGAGGAAAGCGAAGCAUGUUGUUUGACUUUUAGACAAACUCCUGUUUUUUUUAAACAGGACUUUUUUUGUGGAAUUAAGGUCCAUGGAUGAAGCUCUCAAAUUGUUCACAAAGUUUUUGGAAUGAUUCUCUUUGUGUUGUCAGACUGGGGUGUUGGUGGCAGUAUCUCUAGAUUUAAAAACAAAUGUGUGUGCUAUAUCCUUAUGUACCUUAUCCAUCUACUUGUAGAAAACUUCUGUAAUUCUAUUAACAGAAUUAUGGACUGAAUUAGACUGACAUGCAGAGAUACCCUACUUAAAGGCAGGCCUUUCAACUGCUGAUGUUAGAGCCUUUCACCUUCCGUAAGAUAAAGUAUCUCAUGGUAAUGUAGACCCUGAUGCCUUAGAUUGAAACCUUUUCAGAACCAUGAAUUAAAUGCUCAGCUACACUGGAAAUGCAGUGGUCAGUGUUAACUAGUUUUAGUAUGAGGAAGAAAGUCUCAACGGCAGCUACUGCCUUGUAUUAUGCAUAUAUCAUUUUAAUUUUAUCAAAUGGACUGGGAAAUUGCUUUUAAUAUGUUAUGCUGUCUUUGAUUUGUAGUAAUGAAAGCACAUCAAAGUAAUAAGCCGUACGGUUUGAUAAAGGUAGAGCACCUUUUUUCUUUUCAUUGGCUUGUGUCAUUGUGCUUAGCUCCAAGAUAUUAUCAUUGUUGCAAAGUGUCCUUCCAUUUAGGGAUGCCUCAUGCAUUUUGUAAGAAAGCCUUUAUUAUUGGCAAGGAAUGGGAGAGUUGGUGUGGUAGACAUGUACCCAAGUAUUGUUUGGAAAAUUAGUACCUCCAGUACAGGAAUGAUGCAUUCCAGUUACUUUCGAUGUAAGAUUUUUCCUAAUUUGAUCCAAUAUGGUCAUCUAUCAGUUCCAUCCAUUACUGACUAGCAGUAAGCAGCUGGAAUUGAUGUGACUCAUCUAGGCAAUACUUUCAGAUUGGUGUAUUGUAGUUAUAUUCUUCUUUGAAUAUUAUUUGAAUGGCAGCAAUUGGACUGAUAGAUUGAUAAAUUGUUUUUCCCUCAAUGCUAUUAGCUGAGAUAAUUUCAAAGUUUCUGUCAGUAGACUUGUUAAUACCCAUCCCCUACCACUUAGAUACCACAUAUAUGAUGUAACAUUUUCCCUAGUCAAACUGUUAUCACUAUCAGGAAACAACGUCUUCUUUGGUGAAUUGUUUGUUGUGCAUGUCUGACCAAUGUGAUGCUAUUGGAUUUCAAUUCUGUUUUCUAUGUAAAUACCUGGUAGAAUAACUGGCAGAAACACUUAUUUUGUCACGGAGACAAAAUUUUGAUUACAAAAAUGCUGUUUGUGAGAAAAGCAUCCAUUGUCUAAUAAUGGAACAAUGUGGCUCAAUUUAUUCUAUUCAGCUUUACUCUAAACCAGUAUUUUUGUAUGUGUGAACCUUUUGUUGCCCUGGGGGCAUGGAAGGGUUGAAAUCAGAUCUUCCACUAGCAAAUGUAGUACACAUCUGGAGUUGAAGGCAGACUUUAAAUCCCUGCCUUCCAUUUAUUCAUUUUUUUUUUUUAAAUUGAUAGAUUUUUUUCUUAUUUAGUUUUGUUUUGUAGGUGCUACAUAUUUUUUAUUCCAGUGCAUUUAUUAUUUUUUUACUUCAAAUUUCUAAUUUGUGUAUCAUAAUGGUGUUUUCUCUUUUUGACAGAAAACUCAUUGACCACCAUUGAAAUCAUCUUUUCCAUUUUUCUCCCAAUUGAAAAAGAAAAUGUUUUGUAUGAUAUUAUUUGUCUAUUGAACAAACUCUGUGUACCUAUCCUGCUUUUAAGGAAUGUUUAAGGUGUUGCUUUCUUUAGAGCCCUAGGACUCUAGCUUUAUGCAGUCGUUUCACUUGGAAAGUAUUACUCAUGUACUUACUUCAAUAAGAUUUUAUUUUGCCAGCUGUAGAGUAUAGUCUAUUGCUUGGUCUGUAUAUGGUGUGUCAUUAGGUCUGCUCAGUAUUUAGGGAUGAGGGUUGGGAGGGCCGGGCGCGGUCGGGCUAGUGCUGCAUCAGUUCAGACCUGCCCGGUGAGCAAAGGGGCCCCUCUGGAAUGACAUCUAAUUUUACAGUGGUGCCUCUCCGACCCGCCCAGCGCUCGUCUUUCUCAGUAUUCUAGCUUCAUCUAGAUCAAUAUUUUUCUUGGAAUACUAAGCACUGAAGUUUUCUGUUUGACUUUGUGUUUCAAUCAAAAUCUAUACUACAGUUAAACAUCACAGACUCUUUUUUUGGGGGAUACUAAAGUAUUGCUAUCAUUUUUAUGAUGAAACUGGAUCAAAAUAAUGCUAGCCUGUUUUUCUUUUAUUCCCUUUUGUAGUUUAAUAAAUUGUUCUAUUCUGUUUACCUGAAAUUCCUUCUGGUUGUGACAUCAACCCUGUCAUUUUAGCUAUUUUAUUGUUAUUAUUUCUUACUUUUUGGCAUGAUGAGAUGGUGAUCACGAAGUCCUUGUUUGUGAUGCUCUACCUCUGGAUCUUUUAAAAGCUGAUCUUGGCAGCUAACAUACAUUGUGUUAUUAUUUUUAGAAUGUCGUCUUAAGGAAUGUAUAUUUAUUGUAAUUAUAUCUUUGAUAUCAUUGUACAAUUUUAGAUAGUGGUUACAAGUCUUAAAAUGGUAUAGCUCUUCAUAGUUUUGCCGGUGUCUCACAUCACAUCAAUCUAGUGUUCAUUUGGAACUUUUCAUUUAGCUGUGGGCUGAGUAGUGCUGUGACUAUUAGAGGGUUGUGCUAACUAAAUUUCUAGACAAUAAUUGUUAACUUUAGGGCUCAUAAUCUGGUCGACGAAGCAUUACUUUUAUACCAUCCUUUUUAAUCAGUCAGUUAAAAUUUCAGACGUUUCAUUGCACUUCCCUGUGCAUAAAUAGCUGUGUGAAUACAUUCUGUGAAUGUGAAAAGAAUUCUCUUUGUUGGUACAACCCUCAAUUUUGGGCCAUGGUGCAGGCUGGACUGUUGAAUGAAGGCAGAAAUGGUCUUAGGAUUUUUGUUGGUGAAAUGAUAGGUACUUUUCUCAGUUCUUAGCUAUGUUCUGUACUGUGUUAAUGGAUGAUGUUUUGACUGAGCUGUACAGACAAACGAAGUAACGCUUUAAUUUAUUUGUUGUGUGACAUUAAUGUCAGCUUGUCCAGUGAAAUUACUUUUAAACUAACCCUCAGUAAAUCUGUGAUAAAUCUGCAGUUACGAGGAGGCCAAACAUUUGUUGAUGGUCUGCUGUCAUCAGUAGGAAUUGUGAGUCUGUAGCAUACUCUACUUCCAAGGCCAGUUUAAGAACAUACUCAGGACCACAUUGUGUCAACCAUUUAUAUCACAUGUAGAUUGCAACCGCAUUAUUCUGUUUGUAGGUUGGCUGCAAAUUAUUCAAAACAAGAAGGUCUAAUUACCUACCUAUUUGCGAGUAGGUGAAAGUUGAGUCAAUGUGAGCUCAGGGUGUCUUCGGUUUGUUUCUUAAGUCAAAGAUGGUGAAGCCCAUGUAAUGAAAACAAACUGUAUUCUGUCAAGAAAAAAUUUCUUUAAGAAGAAAUGCACUUCCCUUAGGAUUCUGAUCAUUGCUGCUUUUUCCUACAACAGAACCACUGUUACUCACGCUGCUCUAGAUGCUGUCUUUUUUUGUUUUUGUUGUUUUUUUACAAUUACAGUACUUGUUGUUUUAUUUUGAUUGCCUUGGAUUUAAUUUUAUCAUCACAUUAAUAUUUUCUUGCUCUUUAAGACACAAAUGUUCACCUGGUCUUCAUACUUGUUUAACACGUUCAGUGUGAAAUAAGUGUUACCACCAUCUUUCUACAUUGAUAAACCCAGAUUGGUCUUGUUCACACUAAAUGUGUUAAACCCAAAAGGGUUGUUGUUGAUCAAAUUGUACGGUUUUUAUUUGUAUCCUCUAGUCAAUACAACAAAUCAAUUUAUGUAACCUGUUUUAUCUAAUAAUGGCCGUAAAGCAGCGCUGGAGGCCAAAAAAAAAUCAAUUGUUGAUUCAGUUGUCUUUGACCUUGAAAGUUUGCAUUUACUGAAUUUUUCUUACAUUAAGUUGUAUCCUUUAUGUUAAAGCUGUGAAAAAUUUGUAUAUUUUUCUGAAGAGAAAUUUCUAAAGCUUAAAAAGUUGCUUCUGUGCAUACAUGUGUAAAUACUUAAUUUGCAACAUUCAGUUCAAAAAUGUAUGUAAACAUGUGAUUAAAUGAAUAAAUAUUAAUUACUGCCAACUCCUGUAGUA
rnacentral:misc_RNA from 1 species